AGCAGCCGCGGUAAUUCCAGCUCCAAUAGCGUAUAUUAAAGUUGUUGCAGUUAAAAAGCUCGUAGUUGACUUUCGGGAUCAAUGUUUCGGUCAUGCCCUUGGUAUGUACUGAUAUUAUUGGUUUCUCACCUUCUAAAGAACCGUAAUGCCAUUAAUUUGGUGUCACGGGGAAUUAGGACUGUUACCUUGAAAAAAUUAGAGUGUUUAAAGCAGGCUCACGCUUGAAUACAUUAGCAUGGAAUAAUGAAAUAGGACAUCCGAUUCUAUUUUGUUGGUUUCUAGGAUCGAUGUAAUGAUUAAUAGGGAUAGUUGGGGGCAUUAGUAUUCAAUUGUCAGAGGUGAAAUUCUUGGAUUUAUUGAAGACUAACUACUGCGAAAGCAUUUGCCAAGGAUGUUUUCAUUAAUCAAGAACGAAAGUUAGGGGAUCGAAGACGAUCAGAUACCGUCGUAGUCUUAACCAUAAACUAUGCCGACUAGGGAUCGGAUGAUGUUAAUUUUUUAAUGACUCA
rnacentral:rRNA from 1 species